AGCUGGCCCCACCACCUUUCCCCUCUCUCCUUCGGUAACCCCACACCGUUUUCCACCCUCUCUCUCUUCACCGCCUUUGUUGGCGGCACAAUCCCGAUCGGGAUUUCGACUCACCGAAGGGGUUGCCCGAAGGCACCCCGUACCCCCUUAAUCUAAUCACUGAAACCCCAUAAUUACUCUGUUCCCCUAAUUCAAUUAUAGCAUCCAUUUAAAGCAGAACAGACCCACCCAUCUAGCCUCCUCCUAGACUCCCCUUAUUGUUCCUCAUAAUUCACACAUUUAUACACCUUCGAUUCCUGUGCAUCAUCACCCCUUUUGUGUACAAUUGCUUUUCUUCUGCUACUCUAUAACCAACCUUAGCCUUGCUAUAAAACACAAUGGAAAACAGAGCACUCUGUUUCAGGCUUCUUAACUUCUUCUUCCUUUUUCCUCAAUUGUUCAUUAUCAAUUACCAAUUUGGAGUCUUUCUCGUUGAAAUCUAAUUGGGUUUUGUUAAUUGUCAACAUAUCUUCUGAAUUUUCACUUCAAUUUAUCUUCAUUAUUGCCUCAUCUUCAUAAUCUUUCACAUGUGCCCUGUUUUUUCUCACUUUCAAGUUUCAAGCUGUUUAUUCCCAAUUUGGUGAAAUAUCUAUUCACAUUUCAAAAUUGGUUCUUUAUAUAGAUUCUAUACUAUCUUUCCACCAUUAAAAGCCCAAACUUUCAUGACAAUUGUUGUGUAUUGAUUUCUAAUUGUCAAGAUCUUUAGUGUGAGUGAAACUGUGAAACAGAGGAAUUGUGAUGGAUUUGAGGUGUAGAAUUGAUGGGUAUUUUGUUGUUGUGGGUUUGAUGAUGGGUUGUUUGAUUGGAACUUGUGUUAAUGGAGAUAGUAAUGGAGAUUCAGUUGGAGCUCCAAUGGUGAAAACAGAGCAAGAUGCUUUAUACUCUGCUAUUCAAGGAUUUGUGGGUAAUUGGUGGAAUGGGUCGGAUCUUUAUCCUGAUCCUUGUGGUUGGACACCCAUUCAGGGUGUUUCAUGUGAUGUUUUUGAUGGAUUCUGGUACGUUACAGACCUAAGCAUCGGUCAAAUUUAUGAUAAUUCUCUUCCAUGUGCUCCAAAUCUUGAAUUUAGACCCCAAUUUUUCCAACUUAAACGUUUGAAAUCCUUAACAUUCUCCAACUGUAUCAUCUCACAAAAUCAAGCCACAGUUUCGCUUCAAACCGCCGAUUGGGACUCGUUUUCAAGCACUUUAGAGUCGUUAGAGUUUCGUGCAAACCCUGGUUUGUCGGGUCAAGUCCCAACCGCCUUUGGCAGCCUCAAGAACCUUCAAUCCCUUGUGUUGAUCGAUAAUCGGUUAUCCGGGAGUUUGCCGGUCAGCAUUGGGAAUUUGACUUGUUUGAAGAGGUUGGUUAUGUCUGGUAAUUUGUUUACAGGGAAAAUACCAGAAAAUUAUGGGUAUUUGAGUGGUUUGUUGAUCAUGGAUUUGAGUAGAAACUUAUUGUCUGGAAAUGUACCUUUGACUUUUGGAGGGUUGACUUCUAUCUUGAAGUUUGACUUGAGUAAGAACCAAUUAGAAGGUGUGAUCCCAAGUGAGAUUAGUAAUUUGAAGAGUUUAACACUUUUGGAUCUUAGCAACAAUAAUAUUUCUGGUGGGUUGAAUUUUUCAAUUCAAGAAAUGAGUUCAUUAGAAGAGUUGGUUUUGUCAAACAAUCCUAUAAAUGGUGAUCUAGUUGACUUUAAUUGGCAAAAUGUUUACAAGCUCAUGGUUUUGGAUCUUUCAAACACGGGUUUGACCGGUGUGGUUCCCGAAUCGGUUUCAAAUCUGAAAAACCUGCGGUUUUUGGGUUUAAACGACAAUAAAUUGUCGGGGAGUCUCUCACCGAAGCUAGCGGAAUUGGGGAAUUUGACGGCGCUUUACGUCCAUGGAAAUAACCUCACCGGUGACCUCAAGUUUCCUCGAGAGUUUUACCAAAAAAUGGGAAGGCGUUUCGGGGCGUGGAAUAACUCAAAUUUGUGUUUCCCUAUUUCUAAAGUGUCGUCACGUGUUCGCCCGUUUGGAGUGAAGUUAUGUCGCGAACGGCAGUUGUGAUUCCAUUCCCGAGUUCAGUACCCGGGAAUGGAAUCACGCUGUUUGUUUUGGAUGAAAUAGUCUUUAGGAGGGACUGCAAGCUGCAUGUUGGUUGUUGAAGAUGGCUGACGGUGGUCUGGUCUGGUCCCAACCAUGGACCACUGGGUUAAGUUUUCAGAAAACCAGGGUACAAAUUGGUGUGGACCUUGUGUGGCAUUGGGGUGGGGGCUGGUUUGUUAUAGUGAACCAAGUGGCUUGCAAUCUUUUGCCAUUUUCAAUAGGAUAUUAGCACUGUCAUGUGUUACAUGUGUGUAUAUCCAUGUAGUACUAUUUAGAUUUUAUUUGUAAGGGCAUGUUUUUUUUUGUCA